UACGUAGGGGCCUAGCGUUGUCCGGAUUUAUUGGGCGUAAAGAGCUCGUAGGCGGUUCGGUAAGUCAGGUGUGAAAUCUCCACGCUCAACGUGGAGGCGCCACCUGAAACUGCCGUGACUCGAGUCCGGAAGGGGCGAGUGGAAUUCCUGGUGUAGCGGUGAAAUGACGCAGAUAUCAGGAGGAACACCGGUGGCGAAGGCGGGUCUCUGGGCCGUAACUGACGCUGGAGGAGCGAAAGCAUGGGGAGCGAACAGG
rnacentral:rRNA from 1 species